rnacentral:rRNA from 1 species
UACAGAGGGUGCAAGCGUUAAUCGGAAUUACUGGGCGUAAAGCGUGCGUAGACGGUCAUGUAAGUCGGGUGUGAAAGCCCCGGGCUCAACCUGGGAAUUGCAUUCGAGACUGCAUGGCUAGGGUGCGGAAGAGGGAAGCGGAAUUUCCGGUGUAGCGGUGAAAUGCGUAGAUAUGACAUAGAACACCAAUUGCGAAGGCAGCUCACUACACGAAUAUUGACACUGAGGCACGAAAGCGUGGGGAUCAAACAGG